rnacentral:lncRNA from 1 species
CGCAGCUCUGCUUCCCUGUGUAGUAGUUUCAUUCUAAGCUAUGCCCUCACCAUGCUCAUGGCCAAGGCCCCAUGUCCUGCUUGGCACUGAGGGUGCAGAAACCCACGGUGGGAGGAUUUUACCAGAGGGAAAAUGGAUUCUGGAGGUACCUGGUGCCAGUUCCUGAGACUUGAGGAUUCUGGUUGGUUCUCAGCACAGGAGUCAGCCUGCUCUGAUUUGCUAGUGAUGUCCUAACCAAUCUCCCUGAAAAAUUAUCUGUGAAAUUUAUUUCUAUACAUCCAACAAGCACAAUGAACUCUAGGUAGAAUAAAUUCAGUGAGGUCCACAUCAAGAACAUUGUAAUCAAACUGUUGAAUGUCAAAGACAGAGAAUCUUGAAAGCAACAAGAAAGAAUCAACUAUCAUGUACAAGGGAACCUUAGUAAGAUGAACAGUUGGCUAUUUAUCAGGAACUAUGGAAGCCAGAAAACAGUGGGCAUAUUUAAAGUGCUGAAAGAAAAGAACCUAUCAACCAAGAAUUCUGUAUCUGGCAAAAUUGCCCUUCAAAAGUGAGGAAGAAAUUGAGAUAUUCCCAAUAAACAAAAGCUGAGGGGUUCACUACAAGUAGACCUGCCCUGCAAGAAAUGCUACAAGAUGUCCUCAAGUUGAAAUGAAAGGACACUAAAUGGUAACUUGAAGCUGUAUGAAGAAAUAAAGGUCUACAGUAAAGUGCGUCUAGAGUGUUGACAGUUGUUUCCAUGGACUUCAAAUCAACCCAACCCUGUGAGCACAGACUUUCAGCACCAGAGUCAGAUUUCCCAAAAAUGCUAUUCUUGAAGCGUAGAGCCAGACUCACAGAUCCUGUAAAGAAAACAGAUCUUUCAGCAAGUGAAACACCCAAUCUUCCAUUGCAUGGGACUCACAGAGGUUCUGAGGGAGAGAUGUGAAUAGAAGGAGUGAUCAUCACUGUGGACUCUAUUUCUUCCAUCUGUGCGUGCAAGAUUUAUAUCUGUAUGUGUUUGUUUUAAAGUUUUAUUGAGGUAUAAUUGAUACACAAUAAUCUGUACCUAUUUAAUGUAUACAAUUUGAUGAGUUUGGACAUACUUAAAUACCUGUGAAACCAUCACCACAAUCAAGGUAAUAGACAUAGCCAUCACCUCCAAAAGUUUCUUUGUGUCCCUUUGUGGUUUGUUUCUGAGAUAAGAACACUUAACAUGUGGACUCUUGACACUCUCCUUGGAUCUCUUAAUUUGAUUGCUGUUGCUGUCACCACAUUGACUUCCUAGCCCUGCUGAUCCUCCUUUAUCACUAGCUCUAGAAAAAAAAACAAACCAAACACCACUAAUUCAUUUAUUCAGUAAUUCAACAAAAAAACCAUUGAGCACUUAAUAUUUGCAGAAUACAUGGCUAGAUGCAGAG